CCAAUGCCGUUCAUGACAAGUCUCUGAUGGACGGCUUAAAUCUCAUGAGUGCGCAAAUGGUUCAAACUCAGGAUGCCAAGGGUUCUCGUGCAGUUUCGACCUCAUCUACCUCACAAGCCCCGCCAUCCAUCUCUUGGCCCAAGAAGAAUAACAUUCCUUGAAUGGUUUAAUCAUUUCAUUGCCUUUUAUAACAUUUUCACAUGAAAUAUAUUGUACGCCUUGUCUGGA